CCCUUAGAUGUUCUGGGCCGCACGCGCGCUACACUGAUGCAGUCAACAAGUUUAUUUCCUGAGCUGAAAAGUUUGGGUAAUCUUUUGAAACUGCAUCGUGCUGGGGCUUGACGAUUGCAAUUAUUUGUCACAAACGAGGAAUUCCUAGUAAACGAAAGUCAUCAUCUUGCAUUGAUUACGUCCCUGCCCUUUGUACACACCGCCCGUCGCUCCUACCGAUUGAAUGUUCCGGUGAACACUUUGGAAUAGUUCUUAUGUGAGGGGAAACUCUUUGCUUGGAUACUGUGAAGUUGUGUAAACCUUAACAUUUAGAGGAAGGAGAAGUCGUAACA
rnacentral:rRNA from 1 species